AUAAAAGCUAUCUAUAACCCUAAAAUCAGAAUCUUUUCCAUUCUCAUUAAACCAUAAAAAAACCAAAUCCUCUCACACUCUUCUGUCGCCUUCAAACCCAAAACUUCAUCAAACCCCGAUUUUGACGGAGUAAACGAGGUUUCGACGACGCUGGUAUGAAGGUAUUGGGACGCUUGUGGCUGCGGCGCAAAGGGCUUCUGCAAAUGAUUUGGGCCACCGAGCUUUGGGCCCCUGUUGUACUUCGGGUUUUGGGCCACAUAGGCCUGUUUGUAAUUUGGGCCUUUUACCCGGGCCAAAAUCGGGUAUUAUAGUAUUAAAAUCAUUAAAUAA